AAGAGUUAGGGUCCUCUGGGCCCGACCUCCCAACCCUUUGUUUACUGAACCUCUGUUGCUUCGGCGGACCCGCCUCACGGCCGCCGGAGGAUCGCCCCCAGGCGUCCUCUGGCCAGCGCCCGCCGACAGCCACUCUCAAAACUCUUGAAUAAAUCAUGUCAUUGUCUAAGUUAUGAUGCAAGUCAAUAAAGCA
rnacentral:misc_RNA from 1 species